rnacentral:rRNA from 1 species
UACGGGGGGAGCAAGCGUUGUUCGGAUUUACUGGGCGUAAAGGGCGCGUAGGCGGCGUGACAAGUCACUUGUGAAAUCUCCGGGCUUAACCCGGAGCGGCCAAGUGAUACUGUCGUGCUAGAGUGCGGAAGGGGCUACUGGAAUUCUCGGUGUAGCGGUGAAAUGCGUAGAUAUCUGGAGGAACACCGGUGGCGAAGGCGGCAUCCUGGACCGACACUGACGCUGAGGAGCGAAAGCCAGGGGAGCAAACGGG